AAGUCAAGUUUCCAAUGGCACUUGUAAUUGCUCCUUGAAAAUUGGUGGAUGUCCCGUCGAGACUGUUGAGGGAGGCAAAAUUUCCAAUGGCACUUGGAAUUCCAUCUAGCAACUCAAAAUUAUAGGAAAGGCGAAGAAGCUCAAGCUGGGGAAGACCAUGUAACCAAAAGGCCAUGGAAGAAUUAAAAUGAUUAGAAGACAAAUCAAGCUCUCUAAGUGAAGUUAUAUUUUGAAGUUGAACAGGGAUUGGUCCAAAAAAAUUACUAU
rnacentral:misc_RNA from 1 species